UACGGGGGGGGCAAGCGUUGUUCGGAAUUACUGGGCGUAAAGGGCUCGUAGGCGGCCAACUAAGUCAUACGUGAAAUCCCUCGGCUUAACCGGGGAACUGCGUCUGAUACUGGAUGGCUUGAGUUCGGGAGAGGGAUGCGGAAUUCCAGGUGUAGCGGUGAAAUGCGUAGAUAUCUGGAGGAACACCGGUGGCGAAGGCGGCAUCCUGGACCGAUACUGACGCUGAGGAGCGAAAGCGAGGGGAGCAAACGGG
rnacentral:rRNA from 1 species